UGCUAUGUAGUCCAGGCUAACCUGGAACU
rnacentral:piRNA from 1 species